GUGCUCACUUUGGCAAGACAUACACUAAAAUUGGAAUGAUCCAGAGAAGAUGAGCCUGGCCCCUGCGUGAAGAUGACACACAAAUUCAUGAAGCGUUCCAUACUUAA
ensembl:snRNA U6 U6 spliceosomal RNA